rnacentral:rRNA from 1 species
GGGUUGUGAGGUUAAGCGACUAAGCGUACACGGUGGAUGCCCUGGCAGUCAGAGGCGAUGAAGGACGUGCUAAUCUGCGAUAAGCGUCGGUAAGGUGAUAUGAACCGUUAUAACCGGCGAUUUCCGAAUGGGGAAACCCAGUGUGAUUCGUCACACUAUCAUUAACUGAAUCCAUAGGUUAAUGAGGCGAACCGGGGGAACUGAAACAUCUAAGUACCCCGAGGAAAAGAAAUCAACCGAGAUUCCCCCAGUAGCGGCGAGCGAACGGGGAGCAGCCCAGAGCCUGAAUCAGUGUGUGUGUUAGUGGAAGCGUCUGGAAAGGCGCGCGAUACAGGGUGACAGCCCCGUACACAAAAAUGCACAUACUGUGAGCUCGAUGAGUAGGGCG